rnacentral:piRNA from 1 species
UGAUUCUCUUAUGCAGUCUCUUGAGGCACC